GUACUUUCAGUCGGGAGGAAGUGCAGUUGAUGCUAAUAUCAUCAACGAUUGACGUUACCGACAGAAGAAGCACCGGCUAACUCCGUGCCAGCAGCCGCGGUAAUACGGAGGGUGCAAGCGUUAAUCGGAAUUACUGGGCGUAAAGCGCACGCAGGCGGUUGAUUAAGUUAGAUGUGAAAUCCCCGGGCUUAACCUGGGAAUGGCAUCUAAGACUGGUCAGCUAGAGUCUUGUAGAGGGGGGUAGAAUUCCAUGUGUAGCGGUGAAAUGCGUAGAGAUGUGGAGGAAUACCGG
rnacentral:rRNA from 1 species